AACCUCCCGCUAGUUUGGACUAGCUUCUGAGAUUGUUGUGACGAAUUUUAUCUCCCUCUUGCAGUUGAGGCAAAUGGCAGCUUGGAUCCACCAUGGAAGUGAGCAUUUUAUUGUGGCUCCUGAGGACAAGGAAUAAUUGGGAAGAAACCAAAACCACUGGGGAAAGGUCUCCUUCAAAUUUCAGACAUCAAGUUAGAUCUUCUUGUUUCGUGUUGACUCCCAACUGCCUUAGGAGUUACACAGACUGUAGUUAUAAUAGCUUGCUAGUAAAAGGGCUUAGGUAAAUACUGAUAGGUUCAAAGUGCACAAAUUAUUUUCUUACUAAAUAAAUAAACUCAUGUUGCUUGUGCUACCCCGACCUAAACAAUCAAGUUGUCUAUGAUCAUAAUGAAUAUUUAGUGAGGAAUAUGUCCCAUGUAAAGGCAUUUACACUUUAUAUUGUUAAGAAUUUGUUCUAUUUUGAAAGGUCAGACUAAAAUUUUAAAAUCUACACCCACCUUUGUUCUAAGAGCAUAUUCUUCAUGCUGCCAUCGGAUUCAAAUUAUAGGAAACAAUAAAGCUAUGCUGUAUGCUCUAAAGUCUAAACUUAUUUCUGUAAAGUACAAAUGAAAAGAAGAAAAGUGUGCACACUUCUUGGCUGUUAAGGCUCCACUAUAUGUACCACAGUUCUGGUUUCACAAAGCCUGUUUGUUUGUAAACUUGAUCUCCAGACCUGUGCCCUCUAUAUAAAUUCUAACACUAACCAAAAGUCUCAAAUGGAGCUGUCAGCAGCACCACCUGUUCUAUUGGCAUACCCACUUAGAAACCAAACUGCUGGUUGGCACUACAAUGUUUUUUUAAUCAAGAAUGGAAUAGUUCACUCAACAGAUCCAGAGCCUGUCACUUCCACACUCCCAAAUAGGCAAGUACUAAAAGAAUAAAGCAACAGCCAGUAUGCAGCUAAGCAUGCAUCAGUCCAUUACUUUAGGAGUUAGGACCACUCGUUUUCUUGCUAGUAAGAAGCUUUCACAGGCAUAUGCAUAAUCAAUUUGUGCAUGCACAACUGAAACAAAUCUUAAUUGACCAAAGUAUCAAAUUAAAGAAAAAAAACUAUAUACCAUGUGGACCACGAUUGCAGUUUACCAGGACCACCCCUUUAAUGAAUCCUUUAAUAUUGCUUUAGAUCACAUUACGAACCAGUUAUCUUCAAGUAUAGUGGAAGUCCAGGUGAUCAAUCACAGUAGCAAGGCACAGUUAUGCAAUCAUACCAAUCAUUCAGCAAAUCCUGGGAACUCCAAUGAAAACUUAGAAUCAACAACUUAAGGCGCGAUACAUGGAUUUGAACAUUACAAAAUGCAGCUGUGUUCCUUUAUUAUCAACCUUUUGUGUUGAUUGGUUUUAUAGCUUUUUAUUUUGAUUGGCUAUGUUGAUCUUGAAGCAUAUGUAUUGCUUACCAUAAAAGGUAUGUCUUAUAUGCGCAUGUUUGGUUUAGCAAAGAAGAUUUCUAUAUGUUCCAAAAUAUUUGUCCAGUUCAUAUAUAUUUGUUCGUUUUUAAUAGUU